CACCCUUGCACGCGCGCGCAAAGCCCCUAUAUUGGCGGUGCUUCUGGCAACAGGGGCUAUGGACAUAAACGCGCUCGUAAUAAGCGGAUCGGACCCGGGGGCGGUACCCGGCGACUCCACCAGAUAUCCUUCAUUUGGGGACCAUGGGGUCGAAACAGGAUCGACGAACGUGUAAAGGGGUUAUGCUUUGUCCCGGUGAGGCACCACCGUUAUCGGUCCGAAACGUACAGUUGCAAAUGACAACCGUGCUCCGGUGGCCGUUGCUGCGUAAGCAGUAACCAAACCGAAAUCUGAAGUCCUUGCCUCUAGCAAGGCAAGGCGGGGUUCGCAGGCACCUGGCAACAGAAGCCUGCACU
rnacentral:tmRNA from 1 species